rnacentral:lncRNA from 1 species
UGUAUUACCUUGCGCCUCAUAAUUUCUAAGGAGGUCUGGUUGACAAAGCUUGGUUUUUAUUUCUUGAGUCAAGAGUAAAUAUUCCCCGCAGCAUGCUAAUCUGUGGUUACUUGAAAUUCCAACCUGAAAUGCAUUGCCCUCUAUAAAAUCUUAUCACUGCACCUACGAUAAAUGAUGGUUUUGCAUUGCUCUUUAGCUUAGGCGGAGCGGAGCGAUCACUUUUAAUAACUGUUUUCAGUUUUUCCCAUUACAGUGAAUUUGCAUAGAAAAUAAUGAAUUGUUUUGAGAUGGAGAGAACAUAGGUGAAUGCUUAACUGUGAAGGCGAUGCUAAAAGAUCCAUUCAUUUCAUUUAGCUGGUGCUCUGCGAAGAAGAAAAUUCAUAAGUUGCCUAUAGCAGCUAAAUCUCACAGGGAAACACUCGAACGCAUUGAUCAGUGGGACAGUAUGAGCGGUGUGAUUAGAGGAAGAUAUCACACCGCUCAUACUGUCCCACUGAUCAAUAUCCAAGAUAUUAGACCAAGUAUACAACAAGAACAAUUACCACUACUACUAUGUCUGAAUCCCGAAUAGUUGAGGUUAGCUCUAUGAACCCUCAAUAUCCAUUCUUUUCAUUCUAAUACCCAAUAAUUUCUCUUCUACUACAAAAAUCAUAGUGUCUCGACAUUUUCUACUAAUAACUUUUAUUUCACAAAGAUAUUCAUUCCAAUUAAUAGAAAUUAAACUAAUACUAGCAUCAACACCUGAAUAAAUUGCCAAAACAUAUGUAUUUUAACUAAACGCAGUAAUCAAGCGAAUCACCAAAUUCAAAUAUUCAGCAAUAUGGUUAAAGGAAAAUCACAAUUAGCCUACAACUAACAUUCAACAAGUUUGACUGAAAUAAAAUCUCAUUCGCAAAAUUAAAAGAAAAUCCGAUUUUUAUUUUUAUUUUUAAAAACAGUGCAUAAUUGAAGGAAAUAAAACUGGCAUACCUAUGAAAGAAUUUGGAGUGCAGGUUGAAUUAACGUGAUUAAAGAUCUCGCCGUGAAGUCACCGGGAAAAUGU